rnacentral:rRNA from 1 species
GAAACCUUCGCAAUGCGCGCAAGCGCGACGAGGGGAACUCGAGUGCCAUUGCCAUUUUUGGUGAUGGCUUUUCUUGAUCCUAAAAAGAUCAGGGAAUAAAAGCUGGGUAAGACGGGUGCCAGCCGCCGCGGUAAUACCCGCAGCUCAAGUGGUGGCCACUAUUAUUGAGCCUAAAGCGUCCGUAGCCGGUCUUGUAAAUCUCUGGGUAAAUCCUGCCGCUUAACGGUGGGAAUACUGGAGAGACUGCAAGACUGGGGAUCGGGUGAAGCGAGAGGUACUCCUGGGGUAGGGGUAAAAUCCUGUAAUCCUGGGGGGACGACCGGUGGCGAAAGCGUCUCGCUAGAACGACUCCGACGGUGAGGGACGAAGGCUAGGGGAGCAAACCGGAUUAGAUACCCGGGUAGUCCUAGCUGUAAACGCUGCACACUUGGUGUUGCCCCUUCUUAGGGAAAGGGCAGUGCCGGAGCGAAGGUGUUAAGUGUGCCGCUUGGGGAGUAUGGUCGCAAGGCUGAAACUUAA